GAACUUCGGGUUUAGUGGCGGCCGGGUGAGUAACGCGUGAGAAUCUGCCCUCAGGAGGGGGACAACAGUUGGAAACGACUGCUAAUACCCCAUAUGCCGCGAGGUGAAAUGAAUUUCGCCUGAGGAUGAGCUCGCGUCUGAUUAGCUAGUUGGUGUAGGUAAUGGCUCACCAAGGCAUCGAUCAGUAGACUGGUCUGAGAGGAUGAUCAGCCACACUGGGACUGAGACACGGCCCAGACUCCUACGGGAGGCAGCAGAUGGGGAAUUUUCCGCAAUGGGCGAAAGCCUGACGGAGCAACGCCGCGUGAGGGAUGAAGGCCUCUGGGCUGUAAACCUCUUUUAUCAAGGGAGAAGAUCUGACGGUACUUGAUGAAUAAGCCACGGCUAAUUCCGUGCCAGCAGCCGCGGUAAUACGGGAGUGGCAAGCGUUAUCCGGAAUUAUUGGGCGUAAAGCGUCCGCAGGCGGCC
rnacentral:rRNA from 1 species